UUGCCUUUUAAAGGAGAGUUUUUCUAACCCUAAUUCUCAAACCGCCGCACCAUGCUCCCGUCGUCGCCUUGUUUUUUCUGCUGCUCCCAAGCAACCCACAACCAAUUCCGCAUCCGACGCUAUCAUCCAACUUUCCAUUGCAUUACGGACAACGUUCUCAGCUGAAGUUAUCAUGAUGACCAACACAACACCCAAUGGGUCCAACGGCCAACCACAUGCAAUGGAAUCCAAGAACACGGCCAUUCAGAUUCCAACACAAUCAAUCGCCGACAACCAGGUUCAAGGUCCGGCCCAGAAAGAGGACCAGAUUUCACCCUCAACAUCAACAACUAGUCAGCCUCGAGCGACUGGUCUGCCACACUGAAAUUCGAGGCUCGGCCAGCUGAGGUCCUACCCUCUCUCGGUGGUACCCUAAUAAGAAUGUUUUUCAUUCAUGUUCGCUAGGUUUAGUUUUAAGCUCCAGAUUUUUUUCUUGUCAGUUUUUUCCGGUUAGUUAGUUCCUUAAUUUUGAUUUCGUGGAUUUGAUUGCCUGUUAGGUUAGAGAGAAAGGGUUGAGGUCACUUACUCGUAAAGACCCGCGAUUUAUGUAACCUUGUCCAUAAGGAUAUCUUGUAUAUUUCUACAUUACUAUUUUUCGAAAAUACAAGAGUUGACGAUUGCUUAUAAAAAAA
rnacentral:lncRNA from 1 species